GUAGGAAUACCUCAGUGGUAGAGCCUGUGCUUAGCAUGCACCAGGUCCUGGGUUCAAUCCCCAGUACCUCCA
rnacentral:tRNA from 1 species